UGGGGAAUAUUGCACAAUGGGCGAAAGCCUGAUGCAGCGACGCCGCGUGAGGGAUGGAGGCCUUCGGGUUGUAAACCUCUUUCAGUAAGGGUGAAGGCUCUCUUUUGUGGAGGGUUGACAGUACUUGCAGAAGAAGCGCCGGCUAACUACGUGCCAGCAGCCGCGGUAAUACGUAGGGCGCGAGCGUUGUCCGGAAUUAUUGGGCGUAAAGGGCUUGUAGGUGGCGUGUCGCGUCUGCUGUGAAAUUCCAGGGCUUAACUUUGGGAUUGCAGUGGGUACGGGCAUGCUAGAGUGCAGUAGGGGAGACUGGAAUUCCCGGUGUAACGGUGGAAUGUGUAGAUAUCGGGAAGAACACCAAUGGCGAAGGCAGGUCUCUGGGCUGUUACUGACGCUGAGAAGCGAAAGCGUGGGGAGCGAACAGG
rnacentral:rRNA from 1 species